rnacentral:rRNA from 1 species
UACCAGAACGGACGCAAAGCCGCGAGGUGGAGCAAAUCCUAAAAAGCCGGUCUACAGUUCGGAUUGCAGGCUGCAAUUCGCCUGCAUGAAGUCGGAAUCGCUAGUAAUCGCAGGUCAGCAUACUGCGGUGAAUACGUUCCCGGGCCUU